UACGAAGGGGGCUAGCGUUGCUCGGAAUCACUGGGCGUAAAGCGCACGUAGGCGGUUUCUUAAGUCAGGGUGAAAUCCUGGAGCUCAACUCCAGAACUGCCUUUGAUACUGGGAGACUUGAGUCCGGGAGAGGUGAGUGGAACUGCGAGUGUAGAGGUGAAAUUCGUAGAUAUUCGCAAGAACACCAGUGGCGAAGGCGGCUCACUGGCCCGGUACUGACGCUGAGGUGCGAAAGCGUGGGGAGCAAACAGG
rnacentral:rRNA from 1 species